GAUGAAGAACGCAGCGAAAUGCGAUAAGUAAUGUGAAUUGCAGAAUUCAGUGAAUCAUCGAAUCUUUGAACGCACAUUGCGCCCGCCAGUAUUCUGGCGGGCAUGCCUGUUCGAGCGUCAUUUCAACCAUCAAGCCCCCGGGCUUGUGUUGGGGACCUGCGGCUGCCCGCAGGCCCUGAAAACCAGUGGCGGGCUCGCUUUCACACCGAGCGUAGUAGCAUCAUCUCGCUCAGGGCGUGCUGCGGGUUCCGGCCGUUAAAAAGCCUCUAAUACCCAAGGUUGACCUCGGAUCAGGUAGGAAGACCCGCUGAACUUAAGCAUAUCAAUAAGCGGAGGA
rnacentral:misc_RNA from 1 species